rnacentral:rRNA from 1 species
AGAGUUUGAUCCUGGCUCAGAUUGAACGCUGGCGGCAUGCUUUACACAUGCAAGUCGAACGGCAGCAUAGAGAGCUUGCUCUCUGAUGGCGAGUGGCGAACGGGUGAGUAAUACAUCGGAACGUGUCCUGUUGUGGGGGAUAACUACUCGAAAGAGUAGCUAAUACCGCAUAAGACCUGCGGGUGAAAGCGGGGGACCUUCGGGCCUCGCGCAGUUGGAGCGGCCGAUGACUGAUUAGCUAGUUGGUGGGGUAAAGGCCUACCAAGGCGACGAUCAGUAGCUGGUCUGAGAGGACGACCAGCCACAUUGGGACUGAGACACGGCCCAAACUCCUACGGGAGGCAGCAGUGGGGAAUUUUGGACAAUGGGGGCAACCCUGAUCCAGCCAUGCCGCGUGCGGGAAGAAGGCCUUCGGGUUGUAAACCGCUUUUGUUAGGAACGAAAAGGUUUCUGUGAACAACAGAGAUUGCUGACGGUACCUAAAGAAUAAGCACCGGCUAACUACGUGCCAGCAGCCGCGGUAAUACGUAGGGUGCGAGCGUUAAUCGGAAUUACUGGGCGUAAAGGGUGCGCAGGCGGUUGAGUAAGACAGAUGUGAAAUCCCCGAGCUUAACUCGGGAAUGGCAUAUGUGACUGCUCGACUAGAGUGUGUCAGAGGGAGGUGGAAUUCCACGUGUAGCAGUGAAAUGCGUAGAUAUGUGGAAGAACACCGAUGGCGAAGGCAGCCUCCUGGGACAUAACUGACGCUCAGGCACGAAAGCGUGGGGAGCAAACAGGAUUAGAUACCCUGGUAGUCCCGAAA